rnacentral:snRNA from 1 species
AGAUGUGAGGGUGAUCUGGCUGUGCCAUCUGUCAGCUCACCUAUCUCCAGGAUUGAUUCUGAUGAUCUGGCUGGCUAGGUGGGUGUCCCCUCCCUCCCUCACCAUGGCUCCAUGUGUGCCCUUCCCGGAGCUGACAGUCUGUCAAAGAGGACAACCUACCCCAAACAGAAGAGGUCCAGUCUUUGGUCAAGGGUAUAUGAGUAGCUGUGUGCCCCUGCUAGAACCUUCAAACAAGCUCUCAAAAUAGAAGAGAAAACCAGGCGUGAUGGCACACACCUUUAAUCCCAGCUCUCAGAAGGCAGAG